CCGUGGUAAUUCUAGAGCUAAUACAUGCUAAAAAUCCCGACUUUGGAAGGGAUGUAUUUAUUAGAUUAAAAACCAAUGCCCUCUGGGCUCCUUGGUGAUUCAUGAUAACUUUUCGAAUCGCACGGCCUUGCGCCGGCGAUGGUUCAUUCAAAUUUCUUCCCUAUCAACUUUCGAUGUUUGGGUAUUGGCCAAACAUGGUCGCAACGGGUAACGGAGGGUUAGGGCUCGACCCCGGAGAAGGAGCCUGAGAAACGGCUACUACAUCCAAGGAAGGCAGCAGGCGCGCAAAUUACCCAAUCCCGAUUCGGGGAGGUAGUGACAAUAAAUACUGAUACAGGGCUCUUUUGGGUCUUGUAAUUGGAAUGAGUACAAUUUAAAUCCCUUAACGAGGAACAAUUGGAGGGCAAGUCUGGUGCCAGCAGCCGCGGUAAUUCCAGCUCCAAUAGCGUAUAUUAAAGUUGUUGUGGUUAAAAAGCUCGUAGUUGAACCUUGGGCCUGGCUGGCCGGUCCGCCUCACCGCGUGUACUGGUCCGGCCGGGCCUUUCCCUCUGUGGAACCUCAUGCCCUUCACUGGGUGUGGCGGGGAAACAGGACUUUUACUUUGAAAAAAUUAGAGUGCUCCAGGCAGGCCUAUGCUCGAAUACAUUAGCAUGGAAUAAUGAAAUAGGACGUGUGGUUCUAUUUUGUUGGUUUCUAGGACCGCCGUAAUGAUUAAUAGGGACAGUCGGGGGCAUCAGUAUUC
rnacentral:rRNA from 1 species